rnacentral:rRNA from 1 species
CUAUACAUGACUCUGCGCAUAUCAAUAAGCGGAGGAAAAGAAACCAACAGGGAUUGCCCUAGUAACGGCGAGUGAAGCGGCAACAGCUCAAAUUUGAAAUCUGGCUCUUUUAGGGUCCGAGUUGUAAUUUGCAGAGGGCGCUUUGGCAUUGGCAGCGGUCCAAGUUCCUUGGAACAGGACGUCACAGAGGGUGAGAAUCCCGUACGUGGUCGCUAGCUAUUGCCGUGUAAAGCCCCUUCGACGAGUCGAGUUGUUUGGGAAUGCAGCUCUAAAUGGGAGGUAAAUUUCAUCUAAAGCUAAAUAUUGGCGAGAGACCGAUAGCGAACAAGUACCGUGAGGGAAAGAUGAAAAGAACUUUGAAAAGAGAGUUAAACAGUACGUGAAAUUGUCAAAAGGGAAGCGUUUGACACCAGUGUUGUUUUCUCGAAAAUCAAUUAAAAAUGGCUCGAUUUUGUAUUGCUGAGACCUUAAAAGCUCACUGUACAUUUUUCGUGUCUUUUUUAAUGCACUUUUCGUUUAACAAGUCAACAUCAGUUUCUUUUGUUGUAAAAGGGUCAUUGGAAGGUGGCUUUCUUUUCGGAGAAAGUGUUUAUAGCCUUUGGCCUCUGCAAUCGGAGAGACUGAGGUCUGCAGCGUAGACUCUUCGGGGUUAGAUACAUUUGUGCUAAGUUAUAGCUUUUUAUAGACAACUUGUUGACUAUAAUUAGUCUUGUAGCUUACUCGCUUAUGCUAUUUUACCUACGCUUAGGAUGUUGACACACGCGCGUGCUCGAUCUAUACAUGACUCUGCGCAUAUCAAUAAGCGGAGGAAAAGAGGGCUAUUACCUACGCUUAGGGUGUUGACACACGCGCGUGCUCGCGUCUAUACAUGACUCUGCGCAUAUCAAUAAGCGGAGGAAAAGCCAACUACCUACGCUUAGGAUGUUGAAGAUGUAGCACAUCAU